UAGGGAAUCUUCCACAAUGGACGCAAGUCUGAUGGAGCAACGCCGCGUGAGUGAAGAAGGUCGUCGGCUCGUAAAGCUCUGUUGUUAAAGAAGAACACGUAUGAGAGUAACUGUUCAUACGUUGACGGUAUUUAACCAGAAAGUCACGGCUAACUACGUGCCAA
rnacentral:rRNA from 1 species